rnacentral:rRNA from 1 species
GACGAACGCUGGCGGCGUGCUUAACACAUGCCAGUCGAACGGAAAGGCCCUGCUUUUGUGGGGUGCUCGAGUGGCGAACGGGUGAGUAACACGUGAGUAACCUGCCCUUGACUUUGGGAUAACUUCAGGAAACUGGGGCUAAUACCGGAUAGGAGCUCCUGCUGCAUGGUGGGGGUUGGAAAGUUUCGGCGGUUGGGGAUGGACGCGCGGCUUAUCAGCUUGUUGGUGGGGUAGUGGCUUACCAAGGCGUUGACGGGUAGCCGGCCUGAGAGGGUGACCGGCCACAUUGGGACUGAGAUACGGCCCAGACUCCUACGGGAGGCAGCAGUGGGGAAUAUUGCACGAUGGGCGGAAGCCUGAUGCAGCAACGCCGCGUGCGGGAUGACGGCCUUCGGGUUGUAAACCGCUUUCGCCUGUGACGAAGCGUGAGUGACGGUAAUGGGUAAAGAAGCACCGGCUAACUACGUG